GAAGAGCGACGACUUGGGUGCGGCUGCGAAGUCUGCCUGCCCAACGCCAAUUGCUCCUCACCCAAAAACGCACCCCAUUGACGAAGAUCAUCCUUGUAUAGACGAUGAUAAAUACUCUCAUCUGACAAGAACACGUCAUCAGAAGUCACUGCCUGCUGCGAAUAACAGCGCAUCGUGUAUGACAAUCUCUUCACCAACAAGUGCUACCCCCUCUUGUCCAUCGUCACAUGAAGAACAUGGACAGCCGCAAGCUGGAAAUGAUUUCUCAACAGCAGAGAAGAACGAUACUAUCACGUUCACACCCUUGACACAGACUUGCGUCAUAGUGACAUUUGCGAAUAGCUGCCCCUGCAGUAUAAAAUUUAUUUUA